rnacentral:rRNA from 1 species
AGUGAACGCUGGCGGUAGGCCUAACACAUGCAAGUCGAACGGCAGCACAGUAAGAGCUUGCUCUUACGGGUGGCGAGUGGCGGACGGGUGAGGAAUACAUCGGAAUCUACUUUUUCGUGGGGGAUAACGUAGGGAAACUUACGCUAAUACCGCAUACGACCUACGGGUUAAAGCAGGGGAUCUUCGGACCUUGCGCGAUUGAAUGAGCCGAUGUCGGAUUAGCUAGUUGGCGGGGUAAAGGCCCACCAAGGCGACGAUCCGUAGCUGGUCUGAGAGGAUGAUCAGCCACACUGGAACUGAGACACGGUCCAGACUCCUACGGGAGGCAGCAGUGGGGAAUAUUGGACAAUGGGCGCAAGCCUGAUCCAGCCAUACCGCGUGGGUGAAGAAGGCCUUCGGGUUGUAAAGCCCUUUUGUUGGGAAAGAAAAGCAGCAGGUUAAUACCCCGCUGUUCUGACGGUACCCAAAGAAUAAGCACCGGCUAACUUCGUG